GUAAUAACAAUAGCACAGACAGGGUGGGGAAGCUAUUUUCUUCCCACGAUUCGAUUUUCUUCUUUGAAGAGGUGGUAGUUCGGUUGUACACACUUAAUAUUGAAGCACAUCCCAACCCAAGAACUAAGUAACUAUUGUUAUUACGCAUCCCCUUCCCACACUAAGGGAUUUUAAGCUGAAACCGCAAGUGUGCAAAGGCUCAGAGCUCUACUUUACGAAGUGUUUCUACUGGAUCUUCAAGACCUUCAAAAAUAUGUUUGGUGUGUGGGGAUGAGGCUUCAGGAUGCCAUUAUGGGGUAGUCACCUGUGGCAGCUGCAAAGUUUUCUUCAAAAGAGCAGUGGAAGGGCAACACAACUAUUUAUGUGCUGGAAGAAAUGAUUGCAUCAUUGAUAAGAUUCGACGAAAGAAUUGUCCUGCUUGCAGACUUCAGAAAUGU
rnacentral:sRNA from 1 species